CCCUUAGAUGUUCUGGGCUGCACGCGCGCUACACUGACACACCCAGCGAGUCUCCUGCCCUGACAGGGUUGGGUAAUCAUUGGAGUGUGUGUCGUGAUGGGGAUAGAGUAUUGCAAUUAUUGCUCUCGAACGAGGAAUUCCUAGUAAGCACAAGUCAGCAGCCUGUGCUGAUUACGUCCCUGCCCUUUGUACACACCGCCCGUCGCUCCUACCGAGGGGGUGAUCCGGUGAAUGAUUCGGACUUUGGCGUUUCUAGCUGCUAGCAGCGCUGAAGAAAGUUUUGUGAACCUUAUCACUUGGAGGAAGGAGAAGUCGUAACA
rnacentral:rRNA from 1 species